UAGCUAUUUAUACCACCAUCUCACCUCUCAAGUCUCACCUCCAUCUCCAUCUUCGCCACAAAAUGUGUAUUGCUUCCUCAGACCAGAUUCCAUGGCGCAACCUCAACAAUAUUAUUCCUACGCAUAAAAAGCGGUGGAGCCGACGUUCCAAGUUCCAAGUCCACAGCCUAACAAGGAAACUGCAGAAGAAGAGACGAGGAGGAGAGAAAGACGAGGAGAUUAAGGUUAUGAACUUGGAAUUGUACUUGAAGAACAUAAGUAUGAUGAAAGAGAAUGAGAUUUUGAGGAAGAAGGCUAGCCUCCUGCAGCAAGAGAACCUUGCUUUACUCUCUCACUUUCAACAGAGGUUUAAUUACUUGCCUCCACCCUGUCUCCACCCACUUUAAUGUAUAUAUUAUAUAUAUUAUUGCUACCUAUAUAUAAUGUAUUUAUUAUAUUCAUUAGUUCAACUCCUUGUUCGUUUCUCCGCCGCCGCCGUUGCCUCGCCGGAAUCUUUUGUCACGUUCUGCUAAUAACUUAGUAUUAAUGAUGGAUAUUCAUCACUAGUAUUAUUUCACGAAAUUAAUUACCCUUCUCU